rnacentral:rRNA from 1 species
AUUGAACGCUGGCGGCAGGCCUAACACAUGCAAGUCGAGCGGAUGAGGGUAGCUUGCUAUCUGAUUCAGCGGCGGACGGGUGAGUAAUGCCUAGGAAUCUGCCUGGUAGUGGGGGACAACGUUUCGAAAGGAACGCUAAUACCGCAUACGUCCUACGGGAGAAAGUGGGGGAUCUUCGGACCUCACGCUAUCAGAUGAGCCUAGGUACGAUUAGCUAGUUGGUGAGGUAAAGGCUCACCAAGGCGACGAUCGUUAACUGGUCUGAGAGGAUGAUCAGUCACACUGGAACUGAGACACGGUCCAGACUCCUACGGGAGGCAGCAGUGGGGAAUAUCGGACAAUGGGCGAAAGCCUGAUCCAGCCAUGCCGCGUGUGUGAAGAAGGUCUUCGGUUUGUAAAGCACUUUAAGUUGGGAGGAAGGGCAGUAAGUUAAUACCUUGCUGUUUUGACGUUACCGACGGAAUAAGCACCGGCUAACUUCGUGCCAGCCGCCGCAGUAAGAC